rfam:Picea glauca, whole genome shotgun sequence.
AUGUAAUGUAAUGCCUACAAUGUUAAUGCACCAGAUCCCAUUAGAACUCCAUAGUUAAGCACACUUGGGCUAGCGUAGUAUUAGGAUGGGUGACCUCCCGGGAAGUCCUAGUGUUUUACAUG